GUUUGCGGGUAAGUUAGAAUGUUUUUCAUCAUCAUAAUGUAAUAAAAUCGGUUAUAUGACGAAUAUUUCUGUUGCAUACUUUUGACAGUUAUCAGGUAAAGUUACAUGUUUUAACUAAUUUCCUGGGUGUUUUAAUCGAUGUUGUUUCAAAUUACGUAUUAAUAAAACAUUGAUAAGACACAAACUACAGUUCGGUAUGUAAUUUAACUUGUUUACACGAGUAAAAGUUACUCGCGCUAAUGUGCUAACGUGCUAACUGCCCGGUGCUGCGUGAAUCAGAGGCCGGAGUGAAGUGCGUGAGCCGCGGCCGGACGGUCACCACGCCCCGGGCGGCUAAAUGGAUCGACGGAGGAUAAAAUCAUUAAAAGAUGCGGAGAAACACAUCACCAGCUCCACUGACAAGACCCAUUCACUGGAAACCGAUUAUAUAGAAGGUUACUAAGUUUUGCGGCAUUGAUGCCGCUCGUGGCGGGACCCUCGGCCGGCUGGUGAAUGAUGACUAUCUGCACCCAAACUGCACUGUCAAUAAGAUUGUUGUUCAGAGAAAAACCUCACUUGUGCCUUUUUGCAAUCAGGGACAUUUUCCCUGGAGAGGAAAUAACUUUUGACUAUGGCGCAUGUGAUUGGCCUUGGAGAAAGCUUUCAUUGAAGGAUAACCAUAUGACUGCAGAAGAGAACUGCUCCCACAACUCUCUGAUGAGCUUUUAUUGAAGAAUGACCAAAUGACAGAACUGCUCUGCUCCAGUAGGAGUCCCACAACUCUCUGAUGAG